ensembl:lncRNA
CGGCACGUCUGGUAGCAGCUCUGGCUGCUGUUGACCUUGUUUUUGGACUAAAACACGGUGGAAGCUGAAUUAGUGAGGAUGACUCCUGCUCCUGUCAUCUCUAAGCUCCUCACACAUCUUUACCUGCACAUGAGGAAAAUCACUCCUGUAGAAUGCAGAUGUUCAGAGGGAGAUGAUGCCACAUCUGGUCCAGCUGAUGGAAGGUCUUGAAGUUCUCUGACUGGCCUCGACUGAAGAUGCUGGAGUUGUAACAUCUGUCCUGAUAUUGAUCAUGAAAUAUUGAUCAGAAUACUUAUGAUGCACAAUGAGGGACGUCUGCAGAGACUGAGAAAGAGUCUCACCACAUCCUUACAUGAGGAAAAAGACUUUAUUGAAGACUACAAUGAGAAAAACUAUCAGACAACAGACGGCUGCAUUCAAGGUGAGCUCUGAACAUUUGAUCUGGAACAGGAAUUCAAUAACGGCAGCAUGAGCUUCAUUUCAGUCUGUAGCUGCUGAAUUCAUGGAUGAAUCAUCUGGCACUAGAGAGGAAGACCAACAAACAUCCACGUCAGCUGAUGGAGGUCCAAGAGUCUCACCAAACAAACAACCUACAGAGUGAAGACCUCAAAUCUGAUUGGACGGCCUCCUAUUCAGCCACAUUUUAGGCUGUUAGAUUGUUCCAGAUAAGACAAGUACAAGAUUCUUCAGAGCCGUUCUACCACGAGCCUGACAGGAAGAACUCCAACAGCUACUGAAUGUUCCUGUGGUUCCCUCAAGGCUACAGGAGGAGCCCUACGAGGAUGAGCCGG